rnacentral:rRNA from 1 species
GAAAAGAGGCCUCUUAACAAUGCUCCUGCUUUUAGAUGAGUCUGCGUCUGAUUAGCUAGAUGGUGGGGUAACGGCUUACCAUGGCGACGAUCAGUAGUCGGCCUGAGAGGGUGACCGGCCACAUUGGGACUGAGACACGGCCCAAACUCCUACGGGAGGCAGCAGUGGGGAAUCUUCCGCAAUGGGCGAAAGCCUGACGGAGCAACGCCGCGUGAUCGAAGAAGGCCUUCGGGUUGUAAAGAUCUGUUGACAGGGACGAAUAAGCAAUGCGAAUAGUUUUGUGUAUGACGGUACCUGUUUAGAAAGCUCCGGCUAACUACGUGCCAGCAGCCGCGGUAAUACGUAGGGAGCAAGCGUUGUCCGGAAUUACUGGGCGUAAAGGGCGCGUAGGUGGGCGCUUAAGUCAGGUGUGAAAACUCCGGGCUCAACCUGGAGACUGCACUUGAAACUGGGUGUCUUGAGGGCAGGAGAGGAAAGUGGAAUUCCUAGUGUAGCGGUGAAAUGCGUAGAUAUUAGGAGGAACACCAGUGGCGAAGGCGACUUUCUGGACUGUACCUGACGCUGAGGCGCGAAAGCGUGGGUAGCGAACGGGAUUAGAUACCCCGGUAGUCCACGCCGUAAACGAUGAAUACUAGGUGU